rnacentral:lncRNA from 1 species
CUGUGUGUAUACGUCUCUCUACAUACGCACGCGCACAUAGACAUUUUAUAGAGAGAUAGAUAUUUUAUAAAAUAAAAUAAAGAUGUCCAAGCACAACUCACAGCUCCCAAGAGCCUAACCCGUGGAUUUAAAAGCUAAACAUCACAAGUUAGGGUCUCAGGGAUUGAGAGGGGCGCAACGAGCUACUCCUUGCAAAAAACCGGGGAUCAAAAAUAAAAGGUAAAAAAGGAGAGAGAGGAAAAGAAUAGCAGGCAAGUUCAAUUCCUGGCUCAAGAUUACAAAACAGCACACACAGGUGGAAGGAAAGAGCUUCUCUAAGGACCCUGUGUUGAGAGAAUACAUUCCAUUUUUAAUCGUUUGCAACAAAAAUGACAAGGCGCGGCAGGUUCCUUACAGCUCCCAACAAGGUCGCUUGCGACAAAUGCAUUAAAUAACGAAGAGGAAGAAAGAAAGGGAAGUUCGGGGCAGUGACGGAAUUAUUUUCAUUGUUUCAACGAAAAGGAAUGCAGAAAUAAGAGCAGGAAUAUGCAGGCUCUCCCUGCAGCCGCCUGGCACAAAGCGUGCAGCAGCAUAAAGGAGCUGCCUCCCCGCCCCCUCCGCCAGCCCGCGGCCGGCGGGGAUGGAGAAAAACCCCGAGCCGCGAGAAAAUCAGGGAAUAUAUCAAGGAAAAAGGGGGGAAAAGGAACCGAAUUCCUCCGCAGCUCCUCGCCCCGCCGCCCUCCUCCCUCCGCGCUCCCCGCCGCUGUUGUUGUUAUUAUUAUGAUCGCUGCGAAGGGACGGGGCCGGGGGGGUCCGCACGCCGCGGCCCGCUCCUCACCCCCCAGCGGCCGGGGGCGGCCGGAGCGGGGCCAGCCCCGCGCUGUCAGCGCUGCCGCAGCCCGGGAGCGGCCCGGGGGCUCCGGAGGGAAACCUGGAGAGAAACCCCGGAGAGGAGGGACCCCGCGCCCCGCACGCACCCGCACACACAAAGGGACUCCAUCCCGCACCGACUCCUCUCCGAGCACCUUGUGCAAGCCCAGCCAAUGGAAAUUUACGCCGGCCAUAACCGAGAGCAGGAUUUCGUCCCCAGCCUGCCACCUCCUUCUCCGCUCUUCUCCCUUUCCCUC